AAGAAGGAGAAGAAGAAGCAGCAGCUCCGUUUGGGUGAUGUGCUGUUAUUACCACUGGUCAGGCUUCAUCCAUUUCAUGGGCUGUAUGACUUCAUUUGUUCUGAUUAUUUUGCCAAAGAUUAAGGAUUGGUUUUCCCAGCUUCUGAGAAUUUUGUUCCAGGAGGGCCAGUCACCUUGCAGUCCUUCCUGAGCUGUGAGUGCGCAUUGCUGGGUCAUGUCCAAUGUUUCACCCACCUGUCACUGUUGGACACAAAAUGAUUCACACAGACACAGCUCGAGGUGCGGUGAAAGAAGAAUUCUCGAUUAUUUGUUCUUUCAGUAUUUGUAGGUUUUCGACCAUGACCACGGAUUGGAUAGUCAGGUUACCACCUUCCCUACCGCACUGGCCGUGAGAGACGUCCAUCAAAAGGCCUAUCUUUAAUGGAAUGUAUAAACACCUAUGUUUAUAGUUACUUUCCUGGGAAAGUCACUAGAACUUGUGAAAACAAUAUCUAAAGGCCUGAUUCUCAGGGCAACACCCACCAGCAUCCCCAAGUCCUUCUGGGCAGGGCUGUUGUCCAUGUGUUCAUCCCCCAGUCUGGGCUGAAACCGGAGGUUGCCCCAAGCCACAUGUAAAACCCUGUACUUGGUACUGUAACGCCUCUUCAGAUUCCCAUGGGCCACUUCUUCAGCUUGUCCAGGUCCCCCUGGAUGUAUCCCGUUCUUCAGGUGUGUCAGCAGCACCAGCAUUCUGUUUGGUGUCAUCUACAAAUGUGCUGAGGGUGCCCUUGAUCCCUCUGUCUGUGUCAUUAAUGAAGACUUAAUUAACACUGGUCCAGUACAGACCCCUGAGAGACAGCACUCGUCACUGACGUCCUCUGUUGGAGUCUGAGAUACAGUGUGUGUGCCCUUGUUUUUAAUAUUUAGUUCUAGAAUUCAAAGAAACACUGAAUUUC